rnacentral:tRNA from 1 species
GUAGAAUACUUUAUAUAGAAGUUCUAGUUUGCAUCUAGAUAGAGGCAAAUUUUGUCUUUUACCA